rnacentral:rRNA from 1 species
GAUGAACGCUGGCGGCGUGCCUAAUACAUGCAAGUCGAGCGAACGGACGAGAAGCUUGCUUCUCUGAUGUUAGCGGCGGACGGGUGAGUAACACGUGGAUAACCUACCUAUAAGACUGGGAUAACUUCGGGAAACCGGAGCUAAUACCGGAUAAUAUUUUGAACCGCAUGGUUCAAAAGUGAAAGACGGUCUUGCUGUCACUUAUAGAUGGAUCCGCGCUGCAUUAGCUAGUUGGUAAGGUAACGGCUUACCAAGGCAACGAUGCAUAGCCGACCUGAGAGGGUGAUCGGCCACACUGGAACUGAGACACGGUCCAGACUCCUACGGGAGGCAGCAGUAGGGAAUCUUCCGCAAUGGGCGAAAGCCUGACGGAGCAACGCCGCGUGAGUGAUGAAGGUCUUCGGAUCGUAAAACUCUGUUAUUAGGGAAGAACACAUGUGUAAGUAACUGUGCACAUCUUGACGGUACCUAAUCAGAAAGCCACGGCUAACUACGUGCCAGCAGCCGCGGUAAUACGUAGGUGGCAAGCGUUAUCCGGAAUUAUUGGGCGUAAAGCGCGCGUAGGCGGUUUUUUAAGUCUGAUGUGAAAGCCCACGGCUCAACCGUGGAGGGUCAUUGGAAACUGGAAAACUUGAGUGCAGAAGAGGAAAGUGGAAUUCCAUGUGUAGCGGUGAAAUGCGCAGAGAUGUGGAGGAACACCAGUGGCGAAGGCGACUUUCUGGUCUGUAACUGACGCUGAUGUGCGAAAGCGUGGGGAUCAAACAGGAUUAGAUACCCUGGUAGUCCACGCCGUAAACGAUGAGUGCUAAGUGUUAGGGGGUUUCCGCCCCUUAGUGCUGCAGCUAACGCAUUAAGCACUCCGCCUGGGGAGUACGACCGCAAGGUUGAAACUCAAAGGAAUUGACGGGGACCCGCACAAGCGGUGGAGCAUGUGGUUUAAUUCGAAGCAACGCGAAGAACCUUACCAAAUCUUGACAUCCUUUGACAACUCUAGAGAUAGAGCUUUCCCCUUCGGGGGACAAAGUGACAGGUGGUGCAUGGUUGUCGUCAGCUCGUGUCGUGAGAUGUUGGGUUAAGUCCCGCAACGAGCGCAACCCUUAAGCUUAGUUGCCAUCAUUAAGUUGGGCACUCUAAGUUGACUGCCGGUGACAAACCGGAGGAAGGUGGGGAUGACGUCAAAUCAUCAUGCCCCUUAUGAUUUGGGCUACGCACGUGCUACAAUGGACAAUACAAAGGGCAGCGAAACCGCGAGGUCAAGCAAAUCCCAUAAAGUUGUUCUCAGUUCGGAUUGUAGUCUGCAACUCGACUACAUGAAGCUGGAAUCGCUAGUAAUCGUAGAUCAGCAUGCUACGGUGAAUACGUUCCCGGGUCU